rnacentral:rRNA from 1 species
UAGGGAAUCUUCGGCAAUGGGGGGAACCCUGACCGAGCAACGCCGCGUGAGUGAAGAAGGUUUUCGGAUCGUAAAACUCUGUUGUUAGAGAAGAACGGAUGGGAGAGUAACUGCUCUCAUUGUGACGGUAUCUAACCAGAAAGCCACGGCUAACUACGUGCCAGCAGCCGCGGUAAUACGUAGGUGGCAAGCGUUGUCCGGAUUUAUUGGGCGUAAAGCGAGCGCAGGCGGGAUCAUAAGUCUGAUGUGAAAGCCCCCGGCUUAACCGGGGAGGGUCAUUGGAAACUGUGGUUCUUGAGUACAGAAGAGGAGAGUGGAAUUCCAUGUGUAGCGGUGAAAUGCGUAGAUAUAUGGAGGAACACCAGUGGCGAAAGCGGCUCUCUGGUCUGUUACUGACGCUGAGGCUCGAAAGCGUGGGGAGCAAACA